AGGCGAGGCCGACAGGCGUAGUCGAUGGACAACGGGUUGAUAUUCCCGUACCGGCGAAGAACCGCCCAAACUAAUCCAGUAGUGCUAAGUAUCUGAAUCCCACUGACGGAUCCCUUCGGGGUGAUGCUGUGGGCCUAGCGUACGACCCCAUUCUGGUGCGGUUAGCGUAUUAACAGGUGUGACGCAGGAAGGUAGCCCAACCCGGGCGAUGGUUGUCCCGGGGCAAGUGCGUAGGCCGAGAGAUAGGCAAAUCCGUCUCUCAUUAAGGCUGAGACACGAUGCGGAUAAAAAGUGGGUGAUCCUAUGCUGCCAAGAAAAGCAUCGACGCGAGGUUCUAGCCGCCCGUACCCCAAACCGACUCAGGUGGUCAGGUAGAGAAUACCAAGGAGAUCGAGAGAAUCGUGGUUAAGGAACUCGGCAAAAUGCCCCCGUAACUUCGGGAGAAGGGGGGCCAUCCACUUAUUAGGACUUGCUCCGAAAGGGUGUGGUGGCCGCAGAGACUAGUGGGUAGCGACUGUUUAUUAAAAACACAGGUCCGUGCCAAGUCGCAAGACGAUGUAUACGGACUGACGCCUGCCCGGUGCUGGAAGGUUAAGAGGACCGGUUAGCCGCAAGGCGAAGCUGAGAAUUUAAGCCCCAGUAAACGGCGGUGGUAACUAUAACCAUCCUAAGGUAGCGAAAUUCCUUGUCGGGUAAGUUCCGACCUGCACGAAUGGCGUAACGACUUCCCAACUGUCUCAACCGCGAACUCGGCGAAAUUGCACUACGAGUAAAGAUGCUCGUUACGCGCAGCAGGACGGAAAGACCCCGUGACCUUUACUACAGCUUGGUAUUGGUGUUCGGUGUGGCUUGUGUAGGAUAGGUGGGAGACUGUGAAGCGGUGACGCCAGUUACCGUGGAGUCAUUGUUGAAAUACCACUCUGGUCACUCUGGAUAUCUAACUUCGAACCGUAAUCCGGUUCAGGGACAGUGCCUGGUGGGUAGUUUAACUGGGGCGGUUGCCUCCCAAAAUGUAACGGAGGCGCCCAAAGGUUCCCUCAACCUGGUUGGCAAUCAGGUGGCGAGUGUAAGUGCACAAGGGAGCUUGACUGUGAGACUGACAGGUCGAGCAGGGACGAAAGUCGGGACUAGUGAUCCGGCAGUGGCUUGUGGAAGCGCUGUCGCUCAACGGAUAAAAGGUACCUCGGGGAUAACAGGCUGAUCUUGCCCAAGAGUCCAUAUCGACGGCAUGGUUUGGCACCUCGAUGUCGGCUCGUCGCAUCCUGGGGCUGGAGUAGGUCCCAAGGGUUGGGCUGUUCGCCCAUUAAAGCGGUACGCGAGCUGGGUUUAGAACGUCGUGAGACAGUUCGGUCCCUAUCCGCUGCGCGCGUAGGAAAUUUGAGAGGAUCUGACCCUAGUACGAGAGGACCGGGUUGGACGAACCUCUGGUGUGCCAGUUGUUCUGCCAAGAGCACCGCUGGUUAGCUACGUUCGGGAUGGAUAACCGCUGAAAGCAUCUAAGCGGGAAGCCGGCCUCAAGAUGAGAUUUCCAUGCCUUCGGGCGAGAGGCUCCCAGCCAGACUACUGGGUUGAUAGGCCGGAUGUGGAAGCGCGGUAACGCGUGAAGCUGACCGGUACUAAUAAGCCGAUGACUUGAUAAC
rnacentral:rRNA from 1 species